CCCUGUUUGCCCAACACAUUUCCAGUUAACCUCCCCACCACAAAGACAAGGAAAGAAAUGAUGCUUUGGUUUCCAUUUGUGUUCACUUUAGCAGCCUUCAAAGGUAUUUUUUCAAAUACAGGGGAGAGUACCAUUCACAGAGUUAUAUGAAGCAGAUCUCUUACAAACAUUCUUUCUUUUCAGGUGUCCAAGCAGACAUCCAGCUUGUUGAGUCUGGAGGAGAUGUCAAAAGGCCCGGAGAGUCUCUCCGCCUCUCCUGUCGAAUCUCUGGAUUCACCCUCAGCAGCUACUGCAUGGAUUGGGUACGACAGGCUCCAGGGAAGGGACUGGAAUGGAUUGCAAGCGAUUGUGGUGGAAGUUCACAAUAUUAUGCUGCCUCAGUGAGAGGGCGCUUCACCAUCUCCAAGGACAACUCUGCAAACAUGGUAUAUCUGCAAAUGAACAGCCUGAAACCUGAGGACACAGCUGUUUAUUACUGUGCAAGAGACAC